rnacentral:tRNA from 1 species
UGUUCGGCUGGGAUUUGAACCCAGAAAUCUUUUAUGCUAAACGAGCGCUUUACCAACUAAACUACCUAU